rnacentral:rRNA from 1 species
AGAGUUUGAUCAUGGCUCAGAUUGAACGCUGGCGGCAGGCCUAACACAUGCAAGUCGAGCGGUAGCACAGAGAGCUUGCUCUCGGGUGACGAGCGGCGGACGGGUGAGUAAUGUCUGGGAAACUGCCUGAUGGAGGGGGAUAACUACUGGAAACGGUAGCUAAUACCGCAUAACGUCGCAAGACCAAAGUGGGGGACCUUCGGGCCUCAUGCCAUCAGAUGUGCCCAGAUGGGAUUAGCUAGUAGGUGGGGUAACGGCUCACCUAGGCGACGAUCCCUAGCUGGUCUGAGAGGAUGACCAGCCACACUGGAACUGAGACACGGUCCAGACUCCUACGGGAGGCAGCAGUGGGGAAUAUUGCACAAUGGGCGCAAGCCUGAUGCAGCCAUGCCGCGUGUGUGAAGAAGGCCUUCGGGUUGUAAAGCACUUUCAGCGGGGAGGAAGGCGUUAAGGUUAAUAACCUUAGCGAUUGACGUUACCCGCAGAAGAAGCACCGGCUAACUCCGUGCCAGCAGCCGCGGUAAUACGGAGGGUGCAAGCGUUAAUCGGAAUUACUGGGCGUAAAGCGCACGCAGGCGGUCUGUCAAGUCGGAUGUGAAAUCCCCGGGCUCAACCUGGGAACUGCAUUCGAAACUGGCAGGCUAGAGUCUUGUAGAGGGGGGUAGAAUUCCAGGUGUAGCGGUGAAAUGCGUAGAGAUCUGGAGGAAUACCGGUGGCGAAGGCGGCCCCCUGGACAAAGACUGACGCUCAGGUGCGAAAGCGUGGGGAGCAAACAGGAUUAGAUACCCUGGUAGUCCACGCCGUAAACGAUGUCGAUUUGGAGGUUGUGCCCUUGAGGCGUGGCUUCCGGAGCUAACGCGUUAAAUCGACCGCCUGGGGAGUACGGCCGCAAGGUUAAAACUCAAAUGAAUUGACGGGGGCCCGCACAAGCGGUGGAGCAUGUGGUUUAAUUCGAUGCAACGCGAAGAACCUUACCUGGUCUUGACAUCCACAGAACUUUCCAGAGAUGGAUUGGUGCCUUCGGGAACUGUGAGACAGGUGCUGCAUGGCUGUCGUCAGCUCGUGUUGUGAAAUGUUGGGUUAAGUCCCGCAACGAGCGCAACCCUUAUCCUUUGUUGCCAGCGGUCCGGCCGGGAACUCAAAGGAGACUGCCAGUGAUAAACUGGAGGAAGGUGGGGAUGACGUCAAGUCAUCAUGGCCCUUACGACCAGGGCUACACACGUGCUACAAUGGCAUAUACAAAGAGAAGCGACCUCGCGAGAGCAAGCGGACCUCAUAAAGUAUGUCGUAGUCCGGAUUGGAGUCUGCAACUCGACUCCAUGAAGUCGGAAUCGCUAGUAAUCGUAGAUCAGAAUGCUACGGUGAAUACGUUCCCGGGCCUUGUACACACCGCCCGUCACACCAUGGGAGUGGGUUGCAAAAGAAGUAGGUAGCUUAACCUUCGGGAGGGCGCUUACCACUUUGUGAUUCAUGACUGGGGUGAAGUCGUAACAAGGUAACCGUAGGGGAACCUGCGGUUG